rnacentral:rRNA from 1 species
UCUGGUAUGAAAGGUUUGACGAGAUAUUAACUGUUUCAUAAAAAUUUAUAAUAGAAUUUUAUUUUUUAGUCAAAAAGCUAAAAUAAAAUUAAAAGACGAGAAGACCCUAUAAAUCUUUAUAUAUAGAUUAUUAGAAUUUUGUAGAUUAUUUUUGUUAUAAUAAUUAAUUAUAUUUUAUUGGGGUGAUAUUAAAAUUUAAUAAACUUUUAAUUUUUGAAAUCAUUAAUUUAUGAAUAGUUGAUCCGUUAAUAACGAUUAAAAAAAUAAGUUACCUUAGGGAUAACAGCGA